rnacentral:lncRNA from 1 species
UGGGGUCGUACGGGGAGCUGGGCCCCCAUCCAGCCCAUAGGGCUCCAUAGGGCUCCAUAGGGCUCCAUAGGGCUCCAUAGGGCUCCAUAGGGCUCCAUAGGGCUCCAUAGGGCUCCAUAGGGCUUCAUACUGGUCCAUAUUGGGCUGUACUGGUUCAUACUGGUCCAUACUGGUCCGUACUGGUUGUUACUGGUCUGUACUGGUCGUUACUGGUCGUUACUGGUCCAUACUGGUUCAUACUGGUUGUUACUGGUUGUUACUGGUCCAUACUGGUCCAUACUGGUCCGUACUGGUCGUUACUGGUUGUUACUGGUUGUUACUGGUCGUUACUGGUUGUUACUGGUCGUUACUGGUCUGUACUGGUUGUUACUGGUCCAUACUGGUCCGUACUGGUCCGUACUGGUUCAUACUGGUUCAUACUGGUCCAUACUGGUCCGUACUGGUUGUUACUGGUUGUUACUGGUUCAUACUGGUCGUUACUGGUGGUUACUGGUGGUUACUGGUUCAUACCGGUCGUUACUGGUUGUUACUGGUUCAUACAGGUUCAUACUGGUCCAUACUGGUCCAUACUGGUCCAUACUGGUUCAUACUGGUCCAUACCGGUUUAUACCGGUCGUUACUGGUCCGUCCCGGCCUGUUCCCCCCCCCUGACGAGCAGGACGGGUCCCAGCCCCUCAGUCAGAACC